GUUAAAGGAAUUUUAUAUCUUGAUGAUAAUAAUCAAUAAUCAAUUCGCCUUGACUAAUGCCCAAGGUUUGUAAGACAAUGGGUUAUAAUAAUUAGGCAAGGACUCAGCUUUCUGCAAAAGGUAUCUGUAGCUUUAUUUAGAGAACGUUCUGAGGUCAGGAUAACAAAACAGUCAUUAUAUAGUUCUUGCUUACUUACGCACAUGCAUUUACACACAAUCCGUUGGUGACCUGCAUCCCCCAUAAACUUCUCACACUGUUUAUCACUACCCAGAGCUCAGCCUGUUCUUUUCCCUCAAGGUUAGGAACUCUUUGAAGCUUUUACUCCCUUGACCAUCUGUCUCCUGGUGUCCCUCCUAAUUGCAUACACACAUUUCUUUCCCUCUCCAGUGGUUCCUGGACUUUCCGGAACUAAUCAGACUAAUCGAUCCCUAUCUUGAUCAUUACAUUGAUUAUUCAUUAAACCUGCUGUAUGACUAAUAAUUCAUCAUGGUUUAUUGAUUCAUUUACAUUUAUUAGAUAAUUCUCUUAUCAAUUCCACCCUUAAAUGAUUCAAUAAUUCACCAUGAUGAUCAGAUGCUAUAUGAGAACCCUACUAAUCAUAUGCUAUAUGUAAAUACAAUAAUCCUACGCUAUAUGGAAAUACAUAAUUGUGAAAUCACACGCUAUAUGGGAUUUAAUUGUGAUACAAUGAUUAAACAAAACCAAUACAUAAUUAUUCCUCCUAUACCCAUCAAUGACAGUCCUAGGCCUCUUUCCAAUUAUGACACUUCGAUUCAGGAUUUUCAUCAUAAUUUUCAUUAAAGGAACAGUCUAUCAAAACGUUGAAAAUUCAAACAAAACGUUGAAAAUUGUUUCAUCAAACAUUGGCUCCUCGUUAUCGAAAGAAACGGAGCCAUCUUCCUGGCCUGGAGGCCCGCAUUCGCCAUCCCACUGAUCGGAGCUCGGAAUCGGUCCAUAUCUCACCAACUGCUGCGUCAUCGAUCUCUCGAGAGUCCUGGUGAUUAAACCUCUCACACAUGGGACAAGACAACAUCCACACAACACAAACACACUCAUACAGGUGAAAGCAGCCCAUAAUACAGUUCUUACAACACUUUUCCAUUUCCCCAAACAUGGGAUAUGUUAUCAGGAAUGUACGUGUAGCGCUGAACCUAAUCAUUCUACCUACACUGCCCUCUUCUGCCAAUAACAUAUCGAGAGUCAGUCUAUUUUACCAGGUCAUGAGGGGGGUGGCGGAUAAUUGGUCAGAGAACAUCUUUACUGCAUCCCCGUUUUCAUUCAUGAAUCUCUGUUGAUUAUAAAAGAUGUCAUUAAUCCCAUCCACAUUUUUAUCUAUUGUCAACCACCAAAAUAAUGUAGUGUUAAAGCCUUCACAUAUUUGAUUCAUAGCUUUGUAUUCAUCUGGAACUUCCCUGAAGAUGCCAAUAGCAUCUAUCUAGACAAAGCUACUCCCAUCCUGGUCAAAACUACUCCUGUGCCUACUUUAGCCUCCUAUAACUGGCCUCUGAUGACUAACUCGAACUGGUUGGACCAAUAACCCCAGGGCGCAAGUUUCUAACCACCCUUUGUGGUAAUUUCUGUCGUAUGCGUCCUUUACUGGUACUAGCCCACCCUUCAUCAGUUAUAGGUGCUGUGAGGUUAAGAAUGUUCUAUUCAUCUCUCAAACCUAAGUCAGUCACAUUAACGAUUACUUUCAGCCAUUAAAAUCAUCUUAGUUCUCGGUGCCAUUCUUGUAUCUAUAACACUGGUAUUCAUCCGGAAUUUAGGUGAACCGAGGUGGGUUGGCUGAGUACUUCAAUCUGGCCAACCCCAAUUCCUGUACAGUUGUCUGCUUCCCCAGGAAUUUGUUUAAUGUUUACCUUAAAUUCUACAUCUUGAUCUUCUUUGAUUCCUUAUUCUGUAUGUCACUCAUCAGUGUAUUGUAUAGUUUAUCUUCUACUUCUUCUCAAUGACAACGGUAUCCUAUGAUUAGUACCAGAAGGUGGUGGAUCUGAAUGUAUCAGAAAGGUUACCAAAACUAUGAUGCAGCUCAGAGUCUCUACUCUUCCCAAAAACCGCCAACCCUCUCCUGCCCUUAGUCGAUCUGCUAGGUACCACCCCAUACUCACACCUCUAGGAGCACACACAGUGAUGAACGGUCGGGAUAGGAAAUCUUCGUUAAGGAGGUAACCCCCGGACCCUGUUGGUAUCGGUUCUUCUCCUAACUCUGUGUGUGAUCAGCAGGGUUCAUAUGUGUACAUACCUCCUUGCAGUGAGUAACGUGGACCCAAGUGACUCUUUCAGCUUUUCUAAUGGCAAAGGCAGUGGUUUAACAGAACCUGGUAUGGGCCUUCCCAACGGGGCUGCUUCCAGUUUUUUCUCCUCAGGGACUGGAUCCACACCCAGUCUCCUGGUUGGAUUGAGUGAAUCACCUUCUCCUGUAAUUCACCUGUUGGACACAAAAUCUUGGACAUACGGGUUUGGUUAACAAACAGUCUUCUCAUGUGCUCUGCUAGUAUUUCUUCAACUUCCAUGUCUACCUGUUCUGGUAUCUCUAACUCUGGCAUUCUAUAGGCUCUACCUGAUUAGCUAAACUGUCAUCCAUCAUUUAAAGAGAUGGCGCCUAGUAAACCAACUCUAGGGAUAAUAUCUGGACUUAAUAUUUUAGCUACCAUAAUCAUGUCCACCAAGUAAGUUGGGAACGCUUCUACCCAUUUGCUAUACUUAUCUAUUCUUGUUAAACACCCCUUCUUCCCCUCAAUUCGGAAUAGUUCAAUAAGUCCAAUUCCAAAUGUUGGAAUGGAUCUUCUUACAAUUUUUUAUUUUUUAUUUAACCUGUUUAGGAUAGGGGGCAGUAUUGACACGGCUGGAUAAAAAACAUACCCGAUUUAAUCUGGUUACCACUCCUACCCAGUAACUAGAAUAUGCAUAUACUUAUUACAUAUGGAUAGAAAACACCCUAAAUUUUCUAAAACUGUUUGAAUGGUGUCUGUGAGUAUAACAGAACUCAAAUGGCAGGUCAAAACCUGAGAGAUUCCUUUACAGGAAGUGGCCUGUCUGACCAUUUCUUGAACUUCUUUUCCAUCUCUAUCAUUUACUAAGGAUCUCUGCUCUAACGUGACACUUCCCACGUUGUCCAUAGGCGCUCAGAGCCCGGGAAAAAACAGAAUGUCGUCAUUCCAGCCCCAGGCUGAAACACAUUAUCGCCUUUCUCAAGUGGCCGAUCAAGGGACACUGUGCUUAUGCGCGUGACCCCGACCGCCCCCGCCUUUGGGAUUUUUUCCUCUGUUUGCCGAAAAGGAGAUUCCCUGUCGGAAUAUUAUCGCUUUUCUACGAGAAAAAUGUCGUAAAAAUUGAUUUUAAACAGCGGUUGACAUGCUUCGAAGUACGGUAAUGUGGGUGUCUAAAUAGCGAGCCCGUGAUGCCUGGGCUAUGUACUUAGAAUAUUGCAAAAUGUGCUUUCACCAAAAAGCUAUUUUAAAAUCGGACAUAUCGAGUGCAUAGAGGAGGUCUGUAUCUAUAAUUCUUAAAAUAAUUGUUAUGCUUUUUGUGAACGUUUAUCGUGAGUAAUUUAGUAAAAUGUUAGCGAAUUCCCCGGAAGUUUGCGGGGGGUAUGCUAGUUCUGAACGUCACAUGCUAAUGUAAAAAGCUGGUUUUUGAUAUAAAUAUGAACUUGAUUGAACAAAACAUGCAUGUAUUGUAUAACAUAAUGUCCUAGGGUUGUCAUCUGAUGAAGAUCAUCAAAGGUGAGUGCUGCAUUUAGCUGUCUUCUGGGUUUUGGUGACAUUAUAUGCUGGCUUGAAAAAUGGGUGUCUGAUUAUUUCUGGCUUGGUACUCUGCUGACAUAAUCUAAUGUUUUGCUUUCGUUGUAAAGCCUUUUUGAAAUCGGACAGUGUGGUUAGAUUAACGAGAGUCUUGUCUUUAAAUGGCUGUAAAAUAGUCAUAUGUUUGAGAAAUUGAAGUAAUAGGAUUUUUAAGGUUUUGAAAAUCGCGCCACAGGCUGGCAGUGGCUGUUACGUAGGUGGGACGAAUUCGUCCCGCCUAGCCUAGAGAGGUUAAGUAAUUAUCCUCUAGGCCAUCACUCUUUCCUAACUACUCUACUAUACUUCCCUCCCCUUGAUACAUUGCUUAGCCUAUGUAUCAAUAUUGCUGCGUAUCCAUAUAAUGUCUUUGGUAGGAUAAGUAAAUAAUCCUUCUGUCAGACCUUCUCUUAUAGGAUGCCCCCUUUCAUUUUCCACAUGUCCAAUUCUCCCUGGGGCCUUCAUCCUCGGCUAUUCUGUAACAAUUCUCUGUCAAGUGUUUUAUCCUCUUUAAGAUUUAUCUAUGCAGCUUUGUAUGGUUUUAAAUGUUCAUGUGCUUGUCUGUGUAAAUAGUAACUUUUCUCUCCUUUCUUAUUUCACCGGUUCUAGUCAAUGCUACUAUUUCGGCCUACUGUGCAGAAUAGUGUCUGGGCAAUGGUUCAGUGUCUAACACCUGAAACCUACUAAGCCCUUUUAGUUAGGGUAACAAUUACUUUCAACAAAAUGAUACUAAUUUUCUCCUAGCGAAUUUACCAGACAUAAACUUAAAAUCAAAACUAAAAUGCAUGCCUGCCAAUGGAGCCGUUAGUCUCUCCAUGAAUUAAUUUCCUAGAGCUUAGUGAACCAAAUUCUCUUCCUAUCUACUCCUGCUGGCCCCCCUCCUUUCUUCCUGCUACUCCCCAACCCUCAAGGUUUCAGCAGUGCAGGGGAGGAUCUCUCUGUCUGCCCUUCUAUCUGUCUCCAGCUUUUUCUCAUAAUAUGGUUGUUUCCAAAUAUUGACUAAAUGUCUCAUUGUCUCCUUGGUUGCACUCCUGAACUUUUUGAAAAAUCAACCUCUCUAGAUAUUGCAUAUCUACUUAAAUUUAUCUCGAUACCCUCAAUAAUCCUGGAUCACCUACAGAUGUCAUAUAUCCCUGUCCUGUUGACAUAAGUCUAUCAUUAUUAAACUUAUUCACAACAAAAUAUAGUAAUACUAGUAUAUCAAUUCCACAGCCUUGUUGUGUUAAAUCUCUUACACUGAAUUCAACAACAGCUGACUUCCUAAGGGAAAAUAAACGUAUCUAGAUCAUGUAAAAAAAAUACCCCUGCUACUGGUCAAAAUAUUUUCAAAUCACAUAAUCAGAUCAAAAUGACUAAUCUGAUUUACUCCACCAAGAAAAAUUAUUUUACCUUUAUUGUUCUAGGAAAAUAGACUUAAGGAAGCCUACCCUUAGUCUAAGGCUUUGCCCUUUUAGUCCUAUCAUUGGUUCAAAUUAUCAAUUGUGUCUAAGAGCUUUAACUCCAUCAUAAUAUCACCAAUGACCUUAAAUUCACCAUCCAAAUGGCUUUUCAAUGUGGCUGAUCAGACCACACAGGAAAAGUCACCAGAUGUCAAAAGUCAUACCACCCUUUCAGAACCGUGUUUCUUACUACAUUAAACAAAUUAAGGCUUAGAACUUCAUCUACAUUUUGUAUCCCAGGUUCCCAGAACAUUCCCUAUCAAAAGAAUUUCAUGUGUUUAUUAAAACUCAGAAAACAAAACUUCCAAAAUGCCAUGUGUGUAUACCCCUUUAAGAUAUCAUGUCCCUAGGAUUUUUUUAUUUAUUUAUUUUCCCAAAGAGAGCUAAGCGCUUCUUUUUCCAUAAAAUAACCACUUGGUCAGCAUUUCAUCCUACCACCCUGAUUCAAAAACCCCAAAGUUGACUAUAAACAAAACCUAAUAAUACUUAUAAUUCCAUUGUACUCCCUCCAAUCAUUAGUUUUAAACUUCCUCAAUGGUUUAUGUGAUUGAACAUGCCUUUCUGUGGGCGCCUGACCUUUUUCUCUCUGUAUUUGUCUCGACCCCCUCUCUGACAUCUCCUGUCUUUGUUAUUUUUGCAAUCUCGGUGAUUAUGGCCUACUUUAUUGCAGUGUUUACACGGCUCCUCACAUUCUCUAGCAAAAUGUCCUGUCUCGCCACAAUUGUAACAUCUAUUUCCCCCUUUCUCUCCUGCCUUGCUAUUUUUUCCUCUUUUGUCACCUCUACCAUUCCCUGCAAUCUCUCCUAGAGUGGCCAUCAGAUAUUCUGCUCCUUUCCUUUCCUUCUUCUCUUUCUCCCCUUUGCCAAGUUGCUCAUAGUGUACAGCAUAUCUCUUUACUUCCCUCAGAUCUGCUAGCCCCCACCCUACGAGGUUCUGUUUAAUGGCGCGGUUUCGACCUAUUUUAUUGCAGUGUUUACACAGAACCUCACAUUCUCUAGCAAAAUGACCCGGUUUGUUACAGUUAAAGCAUCCAUCUCCCCCUUUCUUUUGUCUAUUCCUAUCCGGACUUUGGUUAUGGUAAACGAGUCUACUGAGGGCUCUGGGUUGUGCAGCACCACCAACACGCUCUCUACCCCUAGUUAUCAUCUUUCUCUCUCCCUCCGUUUCUAUCCACUUUUUCAAUAAAGUGGCUAAAUCCUGUCCAGCUACCUGUGUCUCUUCCUCUCUACCUCCCUCGGCUCCCUGAGGACCAGCAUAUGGGGGAGGGGGUAUAGGUACGGGCGGCACUGGAUGUGGUAGCCUCCGUAUCACUACCACCACCUCGUCAUCUGGGUUCUCCCGCCAUCCCUGGUCAACCAGGGAGGGGUAUAAUUCGGGUUCAGAUGGUGUCUCUGUGGGAGCCGUGGGAGUCCUCUCUGUCUGCUCCUGGCUACCCAAACAUUCAUUUUUAGUAACUCCCUUACUUUUGGCCCCCUCCGCUCUCUUUCUAGCUUCUGCCAGCCAAACCCGAGCAGUGUCAAGGCCCUCUGUGCGCUGCUUCUCUGUCUUACCCCCACUGACCUUAUGUAUUUGUUUUACCAUUAAUUGCAAUCUUUCAACAUUCAGACAUCCAUCAAAAUUGUAUUUCUUUCUCCAUUUCGGCCCAAAAUAAAUGUUCCUCUUAUCUUUUCCCAGCAUAAAACGUUCAUCUCCCGUCAAUACCGGGAUUUCCUUAGAGGAUUUACUACCCAUGUUGUUUUUUUAAAUUGUUUUAAAGUACACUCGUAUUUAUUCUGCUUCUUCUCCCAACCAAGAGUUUUAGAAAUAUUAUUCGUAAGAACCAUAAACUAUCUUUUAUUCAUAUGUGCUUUAAUUUAUACAACUUCAAACCAAAUACAAUUAGUGUCUACUCGUUGUUAAUCUUAAUGUGUAUGCUAUUUUACCGUUAUUAACCUAGAAUUUGGGGAAUAAUCAUUCGCAUGCUAUUUUACAAAUUGCUUCUAUCUCAUCGCUCAAAAAGGACAAACGGCUUUUAUCUUGCGCCUGUUGAGUCUAGCAAUAUGUUUUCGUUAUGAUUUUAACAAUGUGUUUUCGUUAUUAAACCUAUAAUUUGGGGAAUAAUUAUUCGUACGCUAUAUUACAAAUUGCUUGUAUCUCAUCGCUCAAAAAGGACAAACGGCUUUUAUCUUGCACCUGUUGAUUCUAGCAAUAUGUUUUCGUUAUUAACCUUCUAUUCGCAAUAUAGAGUUGUUCUGCUAGAAUGAUUAUACGUAUCUAUCCUAACCCGGUCUUUAUCUCGCUCAUAGACAAACACUGCAACCCGUUUUAUUUUUAGGUUUGUACUGUCUGUCUUUUUCUCGCGAUUUAUUGACAGAAUCCGCCUCACACGCAAUCCCUCAUCCCAGCAUAGUUACUCUAUCUCUCUCGAAACUUUAUCUACAGCGGGGACUGUCGAUCAGACAUUAGGUCGCAUACGUAUGCAACUAUAAACUACUUUCCAGGGGUCGUAAAGCCCUAGUUAACAGCCUAUUUAUCUGUUGCUUCAUGUAACUGUUGACACCAAUAUCUGUUUCUCACUCCGCCAUAUUAGGUCUCACUUCACCCAUAGAUAUCAGACCCAAAGCCGUAUUUAGGUACCGACUAUCCCCUUAUGGUUUUUUGACCCUUGUGCUACGUUAUCAGGUCUCACCACAAGCCCUAGUUUAGUUUUAUGCAGUGGCCACAGUUGCCCAGGGUCGAUUUCGGACCCUGCGUCGUUUUCGAAUUCGUCGUUUUGAAUUUACAACUAAUUCCUAACUUCCAUCCGCGCAGAAUACUUGAUUCCCUUUAAAACCGAUUUUUCUCCACGUGAACUUCUGAAGCCAGGUCACCCGCUAUAACAUUCAUCAAUCUCAGCGUCUCACACCCAGAGUACCUUUCACUCACAACAAUCGCUUUUGCCUUACACUCUCAACAAUCGCUUUUGCCUUACAUUCACAACACUCGCUUUUGCCUUUCAUUCACAACAAUCGCUUUCGCCUUACACUCUCAACAAUCGCUUUCUCAUCAAAUGCCAACACCCAAUUGUGUCCCUUAUUCCAUCAUGCAAUGCAGCCAUACAGGUGUAUUUCAUACAAUGCAGACACACAGGUGUAUCACCAACACCCAAAUGUGUCCCUUAUUCCAUCAUGCAAUGCAGACAUACAGGUGUAUUUCUCAUUUCAUCAAGUAAUGCAGACCUACAAUCGCUUCCUCACCAUGCAAUGCAAACCUAUAGGUAUAUCACUCAUUUCAUCAAGUAAUGCAGACCUACAGGUAUUUCACUCAUUUCACCAUGCAAUCCAAACCUAUAGGUAUAUCACAAAUUUCCCUAUGCAAUACAAACCUAUAGGUAUGUCACUCACCCCUUAUUUAAUGUAAUCAUACAGGUGCUAUUCCCCAAAAGUAUGAAUAAAGCUUACUAACCUUAUAAUUUGCAGCUGAGGUUUUCAAUGUUCGUUGAAUCUCGUCACCACCUCUGUCGCGUACCAAUUUGCCACCGGCCUGUAAAGAACCCACAGAAAAGGGCCAGGUCUUUGAUUUACGGAUAUUUCAUCCGCCCGUGCACGGUUUCGGUGUCUCCUUGGGACGACAGCGGCAGUUUGAAAUCCGGCUCGAAUAGGACCAAUUGUUAAAGGAAUUUUAUAUCUUGAUGAUAAUAAUCAAUAAUCAAUUCGCCUUGACUAAUGCCCAAGGUUUGUAAGACAAUGGGUUAUAAUAAUUAGGCAAGGACUCAGCUUUCUGCAAAAGGUUUCUGUAGCUUUAUUCAUGAGAACGUUCUGAGGUCAGGAUAACAAAACAGUCAUUAUAUAGUUCUUGCUUACUUACGCACAUGCAUUUACACACAAUCCGUUGGUGACCUGCAUCCCCCAUAAACUUCUCACACUGUUUAUCACUACCCAGAGCUCAGCCUGUUCUUUUCCCUCAAGGUUAGGAACUCUUUGAAGCUUUUACUCCCUUGACCAUCUGUCUCCUGGUGUCCCUCCUAAUUGCAUACAUACAUUUCUUUCCCUCUCCAGUGGUUCCUGGACUUUCCGGAACUAAUCAGACUAAUCGAUCCCUAUCUUGAUCAUUACAUUGAUUAUUCAUUAAACCUGCUGUAUGACUAAUAAUUCAUCAUGGUUUAUUGAUUAAUUUACAUUUAUUAGAUAAUUCUCUUAUCAGCAGGGCAGUACGUAUUUCCUCUCUUACAUCUGCAAGCAGAGUCUGAACAUCAGACAGGAUGGCAUUGUCUCCCUCAAUCCGUGCAAUGGCUACUGCUAUAGGUUUCAGGAGUUUCAGGCUGCUUACCACUCUCUCCCAAAAUACAUCAUCCAGGAGGAUCCUCUUGAUGGGGCUGUCCAUAUCGGCAGACUGUGAGAUGGCCAUUUCUUGGAGAGACUCCUUCCCCUCCAGGAGACUGUCAAACAUGAUGGCAACACCACCCCAACGGGUGUUGCUGGGCAGCUUCAAUGUGGUGCUCUUAUUCU
rnacentral:lncRNA from 1 species